UCUACGGCCAUACCACCCUGAACGCACCCGAUCUCGUCUGAUCUCGGAAGCUAAGCAGGGUCGGGCCUGGUUAGUACUUGGAUGGGAAAAUGGAAAAACAACUGUGCUACCAGAA
rnacentral:rRNA from 1 species